rnacentral:tRNA from 1 species
UGCGGACCAGUUUGGAUGCGCGGGGGUCCGCUCAUAACCUGAAGGUCGUAGGUUCAAAUCCUACCCCCGCAACCA